GACCCAAUAACCGUGCAUAACCCCUGAGAAAAGCCUCCCAUCCCUUCACCAUAGCUCCAAAUGCAUCGUUCGACAUUGCUAGCUGUAAUAAACGUGGAUAGUGCUCACAAUCAUGUCGAGACUCGAGAGACGAGCAGCUCUGGACACACAUUCAACAGUCGCACCUCUUGCCGACAGUCACCUACUGCAGGUCCUAAUCUGGUCGGGUUCACGUCUCUAACAGCCAGCAGCACAUCUCCACAAGCCAAAAACUUAUAUGUUUUAAUAAAGGGAUUCUAUGGUUUGGAUGAGCAAAUCUAUGAUAUUGAUAAAGGGAUUCUACGAAUCAAGGUAGUCUGGCUCUGUAUUCUUUACACUUGAGGCUACUGGAUUCCAUUACAGUUGCCUUGCAGAUAAAUAAUAAGGAAAAAAUUGCGGUUUUGUGUAAUGAACAACUACUAAGAGCAAUGUUUAACCUUGGACGGUGUCUAUCGGAAGAAUCCCCUAGAUGGAGAGAGCGUGAAGAUUUGUCUAUGUUCAAAGAUGUUGUCAAAGUUUGCCUUGAUUAUGAGCAAAAACCAGCUAAGAAAGAAGUAAAGCUAAAGCAGUCAAGGAACUCAGAUGAAGUAAAUGUGGAGAAGUAUUUGGGUUUAAGGAUAAAGUUGCAUUUAGACCUACUGCAAUUCAUGCUAUUUAUAUACUUUGAUUACUCUGUUUAUUGUUAAAAAGGUAAUUUGUGUUAGUUAACUUGUCUUCUAUUUAUAAUACUGAAAUUGCACUAGUAAGGAGUAGAAUAUGUGGAUUUACUUAAGGGUACUGCCGCACCAUUCUCUUGUAUAGUAUCCUGAGGCAUUUUUUGUAAUCCUAUUUGCAACUAGAUAAAAGAACAACUAAAUUACGGGGAAGAAAAAGAAACCUUAGAUUCA